GGUGAUGCACCUGCAAGCCAAGGAACGCUGAGCACCACCGGCUGGGAGGGAGGCCUGGCGUUUCCUCCUCAGAGCCUCCAGGCAGACGUGAUCCUGCCAACACUCUGCUCUCUGACUCCUGACCUCCUGCAUCUGUGCGAGAACAAAUUUCUGGGUUUUAAAAUUUCUUAUGUAUUUAUUUUUAGGGCCAUACCCACGGCAUAUAAAAGUUCCCCCCCGCCAGGGAUUGAAUCUGAGCUGUAGCUGCAACCUAUGGCAUAGCCGUGGCAACACAGGAUCCUUUAACCCCCUGGGCCAGGCUGGGGAGGAAACCCAUAUAUCUGCAGUGACCUGAGCUGCUGCCAUCAGAUUCUUAACCCACUGUGCCAUAGCAGGACCUCCAAGUUUCUGUUGUUGUCUCCCAAGUUUGUGGUGACUCGUUACAGCAGCCCUAGGAAUAACGAACGCAGAAGGGGAGGGAAAACAGUCUUUGAAAGACCUUCUAAGCAUGACCGUGGUUCAGAAUGAGUAACUGGAAGCGGGAGUGGAAUUUAGGCAUGUGCUCUGGGGACAAGGAGAGUCUCUCUUCAUAACAUGGAAAACCUCAGGGCAGCACGUUCACGCUCACCUCUGCUUUAGGGAACUGAUCUUCUCCUGCUUCCCCACCCCUGAUGGCGCCCCCGCCUAGUCUGGUCCCUGGGAUCGCUGACUCUUUGGGAUGGGUGGAGGGGCCAGAGGACCUCACAUCUGAAAAUGUAGAGUCGCAAGAGAUCGCCUGUCCUACCCAAGGGCCCAUUCAUUCACUUAUUAACAGUUCACUUAUUAACUUACGAACAGUGCGCACUGAGCUCUGUGCAAUGCCUGGCCAACAGGGACCUGCUGUCAGCGGCAUUCCGUGGUCAUCUAUGUGGGAAAAGAACCCGAGAGGGAAUGGAUGUGUGUACAUGUGUAACUGAAUCACUUUGUUGUACAGCAGAUAUUAUCACCACAUUGCAAAUCAACUAGACUUCGAUAAAACCUUAGAAAAUGGAAGGCACCCAAUUCAUUCAUUGAUUAACUAAUGAACUAAUUGAUUGAUUAACUAAUUAAACUGGAAGCCACGCUGUGUGGCUUCUUUCUUCCCUUUUCUCCAGUUUAUUCCUACCCUCCACCAGAAUCAAAUGCUUCCCCUAAAACUGAAGUCCUUCCAGUGAGGUGCAAAGAAUCUGUUACACUCAUUCACACUAACCUUUCAGACGGUUCAGAGUGAUCUAAUGGCCUUUUCAUCAACAGGGUGUUUGAGGUUUUAAAGUGAGAGCUGGGAAACGCAGUGAUGGCUCUCUGGUGCUGGCGAUGGAAUCACUGCAAGGUUGCCUCUGUCCUCUGUCCUCAUCUCAGGGCAAUAAUUCUGCCUAAGUCCCUUGUGACAAGCUAAGGGGGUGGGCUGCUCAGUGCAGUCGGGACCGGGAUAGGCCUGAGGGUGGGCACAGGUGAAAUGGAGGGAAUCCUCUCUGCUCUUGGGCAACUUCACUCCCAGCUCUGCAGGAGAAGUCUGGGGCGGGUGGCUCAGCUCAGGGCUUCCUCCCUGGGCGGAGUUGACCUUGAGAGGGGCGGUGGUGUCCCCACUGCCUUCCUGGGGGCCCUUUAACGCUAAUCUGAACAGUCUGGAAAUGGAAUCCCUGGGACCCUUCCCCAUCACCAUUAUUAUAACAAACUCCAGAAUUGUAGCCCAAGAGCCUCAGGCUUCAGGAAUGCAGCCUCUAAUUACUUCGCUUCUAAGUGCUCACGGUAACGAAUGAUGAGGCCUCACGCAUCAGACCAGUUAAACUGUUGUGCCACUGGGCCGCAAUUUAACUCGGCAGACGACAGGCUCAAAUUUGGCACAUGGAGAGAACGUGAACUAUUUGGGAAUUGUUAACUUUGAGAACAACCUUUGAGUGCCAGGGAUGCUUCUGGAAGGGAGAAGUUAAGUCAGUGAAGUCUUGGAUCACAAGUUGAUAUCCACGGCUGCCUCCCUUUACUGUGCAUCCAGCCCUGCCCCGUAAGGCAGGGGUCAGAGCCUGGAGGCAUCGGGGAGGGACAGGACGGCCAGGCACACUGCUGGCUGCUGGGGGGUAAGGAGUGCUGGAGCCGAGACCACCCUGGGUCUCUGUCCUCUAGGGGCUUAUGUCUGGCGGCAGGUGGGGAGCAGACCCCCACACAUCUGUUUCAUGGGCCACACUGGACUGCAUUCUAGAGAAUUACAAACUGAGGCUCUGGGGCUUACUGGAGACUGAGUAAUCGUGCCGCAAGGCAUGGGGAGAUGAUGGAGGGUGUUCUCGGAAGCCGAUGUCUGAGUUGGAUGUUGGAGGAUGCACAGGCUAAAGGGGGAAAUUAGGGAGUGACCCAGAUGCCUCCUUAGGAAGGAGGCUUUGGGCAGUGCAGCAAGUCAUGAUAUGAGUGGGCAAAUGAAAGGGGAGGGAGAGUGGAGGGUGGCUGUUUCCAAGCAGCUGGGGCUGGGCUCAGAGGCCAGGUUCAUUCCCUUUCCCAAGGGAACACACUUGCAGGGGGCUCACCAGUAACAAACUGCUGCCACACCCAACCGGGGGUGGGGACUGAACAGAGGCGGGUCCAGCCAUGGUCUGGCGUGUAUGGCAAGGAGCCUGAGUUAGGUCGGUGCUAUAACUCAGUUGAGCUCAGACCCACUGGGUGGCUUCAGAGCUCCCAGGCGCUACCUCUCCACUCGCCCUCCUGCCAUGUCCUUGAAGAGGCACUUGGGUCUGUCUGUGGUCAUUCCUACCCCUGGUACCAUCCGCUCCUCCCGACUCCCCUUCCCUCGCUUAUGAUCUGAAAGGGUCAGCCCCAGCUCCAGAGAACUUGACCUUGGGGUGAGAACCCAGCGGCAGGGAGGUUUGCAGGCGGACUGCAGCUGGCCAUGCGCAGGUCUGGGGCAAAGCGCUCCCCGGGGCCCGUUCUGUCUGUGCAAACGGAUAUGCGAUGUGGCACGUCCCGCCGCCCCGGGAUGGGCUGGUGUCCAAGCUCAGGGGGACCACGGGGCUCUCGCCGGCCUCCCCUUGAGACUGUCUUUUCCUCCUUCCUGCUGCCUUCCAUUCAUUCACCAGGCCCCGACGGCGUCCAGAGCUCCUUAUACAUUUGCUUUGAAUCCUUAUUUCCAGAUUAGCCACCGUGCACACAAAAUGGAGCGUCUCUGAUUUGAGGAGCAAAAACAGUCAUUACUAGAUUGGUUCUCUCUCGCAGAAUGUGGAGGAACAAACAAUGCCACACAAUUUCAGUUUGUAUAGCGUCUUUCAAACCACGCAAUGCCCCGGGCAGAGCGCAGCAUUGCUGUAAAUAAUACAAUCGUGGAGACAAACAUUCUAAACAUCUUUGCAUCGAGUUUCGUUUUGUGCUGCCAUACUGGGCUGCGGGGGCAGGGAGGAAAGAGAGGGGGCAGCUGCAGCCCUGGACCCUGGGGGAAGCCCAAGGGGUGCAGCCCAGGGGACAGCGGAAGGGACACGGGGGACCGAGAUCAGCACCAGCUCUUUAAAUGAGGGCAGGAGACAGGGUACAAGCAGGGGGAGGUGGGAGGAGGUCAGUCCUGGGAGGCAGCAGGGUCCGAAGUAGCCUCCUUGGGAAGGGGCCACCUCCACUUGGGACAGGACUGGGGAGAGGCAGGUGGCGGGGGACAGGAGAAGGUGCUCUUUUAUGGAAAGCUCUAGAGUGUCCUGAGUGCACAGGAGGUGGUCGGUCUAGUUAUUUGAUGGAUAGAACCUAUUGGGUGACUCAGUUUUGUCUCCUUGACCUUGGUUUUCCCGUGAAAGAAGGAUCAUUAAGUUCCGGGCAGGACUGAUGGUCUCUGAGCCACCGAUCCUGCAGCUUCCACAAAUCGCCCCAGGAUGAAACCAUCAGGGAUUCUGGCCACUGCCUUCUGCCUGGGGGGAGAGGGCAACCCCCCACUCCUUCCUGUAGGAGAGCCUCCCAGCUUCCAGUGGAGCAAACCCCCCCACCCACUGCACCUGCUCUGGAGAAGGAGACAGAGUGAGCCGGAGAAACUAUCCCUUAACUGAAUACCCAGACUGCCUCUCAAUCUUCCUAGGGGACUUUGGGUAAAAGACAAUGUCUCUGAUUCCCCAUUGGCCAACUUUAUUUAUUUAUUUGGGCUGCACCCGCGGCACAUGGACCUUCCCAGGCUAGGGGUUAAAUCAGAGCUGCAGCUGCCGGCUUACACCACAGACACAGCAAGACCAGAUCCGAGCUGUCUGUGAUGGAUACCACGGUUUGUGGCAACGCAGGAUCCUUUAACCUACUGAGAGGCCAGGGAUUGAACCCGCAUCCUCAUGGAUACCAGUUGAAUUCUUAACCCACAGACCCCUCACGGGAACUCCUCCAUUUGCCAACUUUAAAUAGGCAUGAAAAAAUGGGUAUGUACAUGGGCAUACCUAUUCACAGGGUCUUGGUGAGGAUUAACUGAGAUACCAUGUCCUAGGUCACUGGUACUCACGGUCUGGCACACCCAGAGAGCACAAUUAAUGGUUACGAUGGUGAUUUUAAUUCUUGGUGAUGGCGAUUCAUCCACCGAGCGGGAACACAGUCAGCUCUGGGGGGAGAGGCUGGGGGCAGAGGGCAGGUGGCAAGAGCGCAGGGACCCGCUGCCCUGCUGGACCCACCCUGGGCGCCCGCCGUGGCUGCCUCUGGGAUGGGCACCUGGCGCUCACUCUCAUUUUCAAGCUGCUGUAGUUUUUGUUCCUCGUUCCUCCCAAUUUGGGUGAAGUUCGCCAUAUGGAGAGCAGGGAACAGUGUUAAAAAAGCUUUCACACGUAGAUAGCGCCGCGCUUUCUCUGCUAAAUGAGGACUCUCUUCCGCAGCGCAGAUUUCACACGCCGAUCUCCAGGGUGUUGGGUUCCCUCGUCAACAGGGCUGGAGUUGUCAGGCCUCCUGGAGCCAUUGUCUCGGGCCCUCGGGGUCCUGUUCCGACCCCGGGAGAAAUCCCAUCUUCUCUUUCCUCCCCAGGGGUGAGGGGGUGCCAGCUCUCUCAGGUGAACCCACGUUGCCUCCAAGACCGAGAGGUGGGGCUCCACCCCCGCCCCGGCGGCUCCGCUGCUGCCAGGCCCGGCGCGCGGGGUCUCCCGGGAUCCCUCUGGAUUGCUGCUCUGGUUUCCCGUCUGGAAGCGAGCUGGGCUGUUCGGAACUGAGCCCAAGCCCGCUGUUCCCCAGCCCACGGUGCGCAGUCUCUAGAACUUUCUCUCCCAGCCAAGACAUCUGCUGCAGUGUGACUCCCUCCCCUCCUCCACUGCUUCUUCCUGGCCUGACGGCACCAGGGUGCCUAUUUGCGUUG
rnacentral:lncRNA from 1 species